rnacentral:rRNA from 1 species
GAUGAACGCUGGCGGCGUGCCUAAUACAUGCAAGUCGAGCGAAUGGAUUAAGAGCUUGCUCUUAUGAAGUUAGCGGCGGACGGGUGAGUAACACGUGGGUAACCUGCCCAUAAGACUGGGAUAACUCCGGGAAACCGGGGCUAAUACCGGAUAACAUUUUGAACCGCAUGGUUCGAAAUUGAAAGGCGGCUUCGGCUGUCACUUAUGGAUGGACCCGCGUCGCAUUAGCUAGUUGGUGAGGUAACGGCUCACCAAGGCAACGAUGCGUAGCCGACCUGAGAGGGUGAUCAGCCACACUGGGACUGAGACACGGCCCAGACUCCUACGGGAGGCAGCAGUAGGGAAUCUUCCGCAAUGGACGAAAGGCUGACGGAGCAACGCCGCGUGAGUGAUGAAGGCUUUCGGGUCGUAAAACUCUGUUGUUAGGGAAGAACAAGUGCUGGUUGAAUAAGCUGGCACCUUGACGGUACCUAACCAGAGAGCCACGGCUAACUACGUGCCAGCCGCCGCCGUAA